rnacentral:rRNA from 1 species
CCUACCGGGCGGCAGCAGUGGGGGAUAUUGCACAAUGGGGGGAACCCUGAUGCAGCGACGCCGCGUGGGUGAAGGAGCGUUUCGGCGCGUAAAGCCCUAUCGGCAGGGAAGAAGGAGGACGGUACCUGACUAAGAAGCCCCGGCUAACUACGUGCCAGCAGCCGCGGCAAUACGUAGGGGGCAAGUGUUAUCCGGAUUGACUGGGUGUAAAGGGGGCGCAGACGGCAGCGCAAGCCAGGAGUGAAAGCCCGGGGCCCAACCCCGGGACUGCUCUUGGAACUGCGCGGCUGGAGUGCAGGAGGGGCAGGCGGAAUUCCUGGUGUAGCGGUGAAAUGCGUAGAUAUCAGGAGGAACACCGGUGGCGAAGGCAGCCUGCUGGACUGCGACUGACGUUGAGGCCCGAAAGCGUGGGGAGCAAACAGGAUUAGAUACCCGAGUAGUC